AUCAAUUCAGCAUAAACGAGGCGGUGUCCAAGCUACACGGAGCUGGUUAUGAUUGAUCAAGUACCUGUGUCCUAGACAACUAAUUCGUCGUAUCAUCAUGGCAAUGUUCUGGAUUUAUGUUCACUGUGUUCUGGCUGCACUUAAUCUUCUGAGGACACGUGUAGUGGUGGGAUAUGCUACAAUAGAUUUGUUUUCCAUGAAUGAACCGUACACAAGUUUUGUUGAAAAAGAACUUCGGCUCAUGUUCCUGAUAUCAAACUUCACUACAACUUGGUCGGAUGCUGCAGGCAAAUGUAAAGAAAUAAAUGCACACAUCUUUAAAAUACGAAAUAAAGAGGAAAAAUAUA